rnacentral:rRNA from 1 species
GCAAGUCGAGCGAGAAAUGCUUCGGGCUGAGUACAGCGGCGGACGGGUGAGUAACGCGUAGGAAUCUACCUGGUAGUGGGGGACAACUUGCGGAAACGCAAGCUAAUACCGCAUACACCCUAAGGGGGAAAGCGGAGGAUCUUCGGACCUCGUGCUAUCGGAUGAGCCUGCGUAGGAUUAGCUAGUUGGUGAGGUAAAAGCUCACCAAGGCGACGAUCCUUAGCUGGUCUGAGAGGAUGAUC